rnacentral:rRNA from 1 species
GAUGAACGCUGGCGGCGUGCCUAAUACAUGCAAGUCGAGCGAACAGACCAUGCGUUUGCUCCUCUCACGUUAGCGGCGCGCGGGUGAGUCACACGUGGAUCACCUCCCUAUAAUACGGGGAUCACUUCGAGAAUCCGGAUCUAACCCCGUAUAAUCUCUUGCUGCGUAUGGUUCAAUAGUAAAAUUCGGUGUUUGUGUCUCUUCUCGCUGCAUCCGGGCGGCUUUAGCUAGUCGGUACGGUAACGGCUUAUCACGGCAAGGAUGCGUAGCCGACCGGAUAGGGGGAUCGGCCACACGGGAAGGUAGACGCGGUCCAGACGCCUACGGGAGGCAGCAGAAGGGAAUCGUCCGCAAUGGUCGAAAGCUUGACGGAGCAGCGCCGCGUGAGAGAUGAAGGUCUUCGGAGCGUAAAACUCUGUUAUUAGGGAAGAACAAAUGUGUAAGUAACUAUGCACGUCUUGACGGUACCUAAUCAGAAAGCCACGGCUAACUACGUG